AACGAACGCUGGCGGCAUGCCUAACACAUGCAAGUCGAACGAGACCUUCGGGUCUAGUGGCGCACGGGUGCGUAACGCGUGGGAACCUGCCCUUAGGUUCGGAAUAACGCCCCGAAAGGGGUGCUAAUACCGGAUAAUGUCUUCGGACCAAAGAUUUAUCGCCUUUGGAUGAGCCCGCGUUGGAUUCGCUAGUUGGUAGGGUAAAAGCCUACCAAGGCGACGAUCCAUAACUGGUCUGAGAGGCUGAUCAGCCACACUGGGACUGAGACACGGCCCAGACUCCUACGGGAGGCAGCAGUGGGGAAUAUUGGACUAUGGGCUGUAGCCUGAUCCAGCACUGCCGCGUGAGUGAUGAAGGCCUUAGGGUUGUAAAGCUCUUUUACCCGGGACGAUAAUGACAUUACCGGGAGAAUAAGCUCCGGCUAACUCCGUG
rnacentral:rRNA from 1 species